CGGAGACUUCUUGGGAAAGAGGUGAAGCGAUCUGCUCACUCACCGACACCUCCGGAAUCGCGAAACCAGCAGCGCCAGCAACAGGAGGAGGGUCCCAACCACAAGCAACCCUGUCGUGAAGAGGCAGCCCAUGGCGGAGAUGAUGGUGAAGAGGCUGGGUCUUCUGCGCCGCGGCGAGAGAGCUGGACUGGGAGAGAGAAAAGCCGGAGUUGGGACGCCGACGAGUCCUUCUCUCGGGCUGGCGCGGUCUUUCUCGGCUCGUGGCCACUGUGUCUCUUACUCUUCUCGGCAGCAGCCCGAUCCGCCCCCGGUUCUUCUGCCCCGCCUGAGCGCCAAGUCCGGAGUCGGGGGAGGAGAACCUCGACGCCCAGCUUGCAGCGCCCCUGAGAUGGGGGAGCGUCUCCGUUUCCAAGGCGGGCGCCCGCGCUGGCAGCUGCCUGGGCAGGUGCUGCUGAGAACGGCUGCCUCCCCCCCCACCCCCCGCUAAGCUUCAGUGGGGGCGAUCUCAGGGCGCAAAGGGGCUUUAGGCGGCUUGCGUUUCGUGAUCGGACCCAAAGCUUCAGUAGGGCCCCUCGUUAUCCGCUUUCCAAAGCAAAGCUAAGUCUCUUGGAGACGGCGACACCUACUCUGCGCGUGUACAGAGCGCAUUCCCAGCCAGAGUAACCGAACAAAAAUUACAAAGGAUUCUCCACUGUAGCUGGUGUCCCCUUUCCCCCAUGAACAACUCACAACAAGAAGGGUAUUUCCACGUUGUUGUUUAUUGUAUAUCUUCUGGUUCUUAGAUGUGAUCCGCAGUGUGCUGUCAUCACUGGAAUUCAGCACUUCGAAGUAUGACUGGACUCCACUGAAAAGUGCUGCAUACCUUGCAAACAGAUAAAGAGAAAGAGAAGGACAGCAACUGAGAGAAAAACAGAGGAGGAGUCAGAGGAAGUGAAACCUGCAGCAGAGAUCCCUAGACCAGGCUGAGGGAGGAAGAAGAACAAUGCUAACUUACCUAUCCAAACCACUCCCCCUUUAAAUGAACAAGCACAAAAUAAAGAACAAAACAGACUCCAGGCAAAGCAUAAUCCAGUACAAUUUUCUACAAAAAAUAAAAUCUGUCAACACAUACAAUUCAAAGAAAGCUUUCCAAAUUAUCUGGAACUUGUCCUGAGCUCCUCACUAAAAAUAAACAAUUCUCUCAUAA